GCACUGGUGGUUCAGUGGUAGAAUUUCCGUCUUCCAUUUUGGAGACCCAGGUUUGAUUCCCCGCCAAUGCA
rnacentral:tRNA from 1 species